UGCCAGCCGCCGCGGUAAGACGGAGGGUGCAAGCGUUGUUCGGAAUUACUGGGCGUAAAGCGCAGGCAGGCGGUUCGUUAAGUCGUUUGUGAAAACCCGGGGCUCAACCCCGUGGAAUGCAGACGAUACCGGCGAACUGGAGACCAGUAGAGGCUAGCGGGAUUCCUGGUGUAGCGGUGGAAUGCGUAGAUAUCAGGAAGAACACCUGUGGCGAAGGCGGCUAGCUGGGCUGGAUCUGACGCUGACCUGCGAAAGCGUGGGGAGCAAACAGGAUUAGAUA
rnacentral:rRNA from 1 species